GAUGAACGCUGGCGGCGUGCCUAAUACAUGCCAGUCGAGCGAACAGACGAGGAGCUUGCUCCUUUGACGUUAGCGGCGGACGGGGGGGUAAAAGGUGGGUAACUAACUUUUAAAACGGGGAAAAUUUCGGGAAACGGAGGCUAAAACGGAUAAAAAUUUCAAACCCAAGGGUUCAUUGGUGAAAAAGGGCUUGUCUUCACUUUUAAAAGGGACCUCCGCCUUUUUCGCUUGUGGUUAAGGUAACGGGUUACCAAGGCAACGUUGCGUAGCCGACCUGAGAGGGUGAUCGGCCACACUGGAACUGAGACACGGUCCAGACUCCUACGGGAGGCAGCAGUAGGGAAUCUUCCGCAAUGGGCGAAAGCCUGACGGAGCAACGCCGCGUGAGUGAUGAAGGUCUUCGGAUCGUAAAACUCUGUUAUUAGGGAAGAACAAACGUGUAAGUAACUGUGCACGUCUUGACGGUACCUAAUCAGAAAGCCACGGCUAACUACGUG
rnacentral:rRNA from 1 species